rnacentral:rRNA from 1 species
CCCUUAGAUGUUCUGGGCCGCACGCGCGCUACACUGAUGCAUUCAACGAGUCUAAAACCUGGUCUGAUAGGGCUGGGUAAUCUUUUGAAUGUGCAUCGUGAUUGGGAUAGAUGAUUGCAAUUCUUCAUCUUCAACGAGGAAUGCCUAGUAAACGCAAGUCAUCAGCUUGCAUUGAUUACGUCCCUGCCCUUUGUACACACCGCCCGUCGCUCCUACCGAUCGAAGAGUUAGGUGAAUUGUUUUGAUAGAUAAGAUUUGACUAUGGUCAACUCUCGUUGUGAAAUUCUGUGAAUCUGACUGUUUAGAGGAAGGAAAAGUCGUAACA